AUUUCCCAAAUGUGGCCUUGGGUUUUCAGGAGCCCAGUAGUGACUUCUGUGGUCCCUGACUUGCACCCUCACCCUAUUAUUGGAGUUGUGCUUCAUUUCUCUGUGUGGAAAGAGUGAAGUAUUGGGAAAUAUGACCCUGGUCACCAAACCAACUCAGAGACAGCAAGUGCUUUGGCAAAGGAAAGGGCUGGCACAGAGAACAGAGUAAGUAAUGACUACUUUUAUUUUUGUACUAUAAAUGGAUAAUUAUAGUACUUAAAAAAUAGACAUCAAAGAAGCAUUAUCUAACAACAUACAUGAUGGUGGGCUCUGAGUGCAGCAGAAGCAGUGCGUAAAGUAGGUCCUUUGCCUCCAACAGAGCAGUGGUGGGCAAAAAAUAUCAAUGCUUUUCUGGUCUUCAAGCUUUAUGAAGUAGGCAGGCAGAGAGAGUCGAGCUGACACAGUACUGACACUGUCAGGUGAUAGAUGCAUCGACCCAAGCACAGGAUUUUUUAACAGCCAGGAGCAUUUGGGGUUGGGAUUCAUUGAGUAAGUUGGGAUUUUCCUUCUAUUUGUGAGAAAUUAAUAAUUUCUGGCUUAUGGAUAAAAAGUGAAAAAUUAAUGUUGCCUCUCCUGUUUUGUUGAGCAAUUUAAAAAUUUCAUAUGGCAGAAAACCAGAGGCUGUGGCUGCUCAGGGUGGCAUGACAGCAAAGUCCAGAAAGUUCAAUCAAAAGCUUACCUACUGCAAAAUUAAAGAUGGGUGACAUUGCCACUCUUGUCAGCAGAGUUUUCAAGGAAAUAAUCAUAUGAUUUGCAUAAUUAAGACAUCAUUAGUUCAGAAGGGAAUGAUCAUGUAUUUGUAUGGCAAACUGAAACAUGCUCUCAGGAUGACUUAUAAGACAUAUAAAGUAAAAUCUCUAAUAAUACUGAAUAACUUAUCAAGUAAUUCUGUGCUCUUGAGCUUUUAGAAAAAAAAUUUAUCCUGGCAGACCUUAAAUAUCUUGGUUUUUCUCAUCAUGCUAGCAGUUGUUGUAAUACCAGGUGCUUUCUACCUCCAUUUUCUCCUCUACUUAGAAAACCUUUAUUCCACUUACAGAGCAUUAUGGCCUUCCAAAAUAACGAGUUGAAAUUAAAGUCUAGAAACUGCGAAGCAUAGGAUUCCUGGGAUCGAA
rnacentral:lncRNA from 1 species